AUUGGUUUAACAGCUGGAGAGGAGGAGGAGGAGGAGGAGGAGAGGUGGUGGGGGGGGUUCAAAGGAGGAGAGGAAACAAAGACACGGGAGAAAAGUGUGAGUCACCGGGAUUUUAAAAAUUUGUUGUGUCUGAUGUUUAUAAAUUUAUCAGCGGCAGACUGACUUUAGAUACUGCGCAUCAGAGUGGAAAUGAAUAAUUUGCAGCCCUGUCACCUCCCAUCUGCAGCGUGUUCGUUGGCAUGAAUCCACAUUCUGAUCAGGAGUGUGAUGCAGUGGCUUGAACAAGGAUGUGGCAGGUGUGGGCUCAUUGGCAGUUCAUCCCAAACCAGCUCCAUGGGGUUCAGGCCUGGAGACGGUGCUGCUCUUUCAUCAUGUGAAGCCACCGUCUGGUUCUGCUCUUCUAAUGUUUUGGGUCAUUAUCUUGCUGUAGGAUGAACCUCUGACCAACCAAUCCGUCUUUAUUAUUUGCCUUUUUCCUCACUAUUCUGAUGACAAUACACAGUACUACUUCCUGCAGUACAGUACUGUCCUAAUAAUGCCUGAGUGGGUGUAGUAACAGUCUGUUCCAACACUGCCUUUUAUACAGACGGAGGGUUUAUAAGUCAUCAACCUGCAGGAACUGUUUGCAUCAACUUUCAAGGCUUCAUUUACUCUCGUCGUUGCAGGAAAGCUGUACAUUAAUCUCUUUGCUCAUCCCUGAAAAAGACCAGUUUUCUAUUAAAUUAAUAUGAUUUUUGGUGACCUAAACUUUUUUUUUUACCUACUUGUCUUUGUAGCUUUAAAUGUUAUUCACUGAACUUGAACUGCUUCAAUUUCAAUAAAAACUGUUCUAGUGUAUGUUAGCAAUAAUA